AUACGUAGGUGGCGAGCGUUGUCCGGAUUUACUGGGUGUAAAGGGCGAGUAGGCGGAUGAGCAAGUCAGAUGUGAAAUACCGGGGCUUAACCCCGGGGCUGCAUUUGAAACUGCUUAUCUUGAGUGAUGGAGAGGCAGGCGGAAUUCCCGGUGUAGCGGUGGAAUGCGUAGAUAUUGGGAGGAACACCAGUGGCGAAGGCGGCCUGCUGGACAUUAACUGACGCUGAUGAGCGAAAGCGUGGGGAGCAAACAGGAUUAGAUACCCUGGCAGUCCACGCUGUAAACGAUGGAUACUAGGUGUGGGAGGUAUUGACCCCUUCCGUGCCGGAGUUAACGCAAUAAGUAUCCCACCUGGGGAGUACGGCCGCAAGGUUGA
rnacentral:rRNA from 1 species